CACGUAAAUAUUGGAGCAGCUUUCCAGUGGUGGCGAGAACUCAAGGAGUGGGAAGGCCUGGAAUCAGACGCCAAGGUUGCUUUGUUUCUUCUUGAUAGGUGACAGAACAGAAAGAUGUACAU